rnacentral:rRNA from 1 species
AUUUAUGACCAUACCAACUAAAAUAUAUCUGGUGUCAGAUCUCAGAAAUUGAACAGGGUUGCACCUGGUUAGUUCUAGGAAGGGAGAAAUGAUCAUGAGUU